rnacentral:rRNA from 1 species
GUGGGGAAUCUUGCGCAAUGGGCGAAAGCCUGACGCAGCCAUGCCGCGUGAAUGAUGAAGGUCUUAGGAUUGUAAAAUUCUUUCACCGGGGACGAUAAUGACGGUACCCGGAGAAGAAGCCCCGGCUAACUUCGUGCCAGCAGUCGCGGUAAUACGAAGGGGGCUAGCGUUGCUCGGAAUUACUGGGCGUAAAGGGCGCGUAGGCGGACAGUUAAGUUGGGGGUGAAAGCCCGGGGCUCAACCUCGGAACUGCCUUCAAUACUGGCUGUCUUGAGUAUGAGAGAGGUGUGUGGAACUCCGAGUGUAGAGGUGAAAUUCGUAGAUAUUCGGAAGAACACCAGUGGCGAAGGCGACAUACUGGCUCAUUACUGACGCUGAGGCUCGAAAGCGUGGGGAGCAAACAGGAUUAGAAACCCUGGUAGUCC